GUGGGGAAUCUUGCGCAAUGGGCGAAAGCCUGACGCAGCCAUGCCGCGUGAAUGAUGAAGGUCUUAGGAUUGUAAAAUUCUUUCACCGGGGACGAUAAUGACGGUACCCGGAGAAGAAGCUCCGGCUAACUUCGUGCCAGCAGCCGCGGUAAUACGAAGGGGGCUAGCGUUGCUCGGAAUUGCUGGGCGUAAAGGGCGCGUAGGCGGACAGCUUAGUCAGAGGUGAAAGCCCAGGGCUCAACCUUGGAAUUGCCUUUGAUACUGGCUGUCUUGAGUUUGGGAGAGGUGAGUGGAACUCCGAGUGUAGAGGUGAAAUUCGUAGAUAUUCGGAAGAACACCAGUGGCGAAGGCGACUCACUGGCCCAAUACUGACGCUGAGGCGCGAAAGCGUGGGGAGCAAACAGGAUUAGAAACCCUAGUAGUCC
rnacentral:rRNA from 1 species